rnacentral:rRNA from 1 species
UACGUAGGGUGCGAGCGUUGCCCGGAUUUAUUGGGCGUAAAGGGCGCGUAGGCGGUCACGCACGUCCGUUGUGAAAUCGCUCGGCUCAACUGGGCGGGGUCAGCGGAUACGGCGUGGCUGGAGCAAGCUAGGGGGCAAUGGAAUUCCCGGUGUAGUGGUGGAAUGCGUAGAUAUCGGGAGGAACACCAGUGGCGAAGGCGGUUGCCUGGAGCUUUGGCUGACGCUGAUGCGCGAAAGCGUGGGGAGCGAACAGG